rnacentral:rRNA from 1 species
UACGUAGGGGGCUAGCGUUGUCCGGAAUCAUUGGGCGUAAAGCGCGUGUAGGCGGUCCGGUAAGUCCGCUGUGAAAGUCGGGGGCUCAACCCUCGAAUGCCGGUGGAUACUGUCGGGCUAGAGUGCGGAAGAGGCGAGUGGAAUUCCUGGUGUAGCGGUGAAAUGCGCAGAUAUCAGGAGGAACACCGAUUGCGAAGGCAGCUCGCUGGGACGUUACUGACGCUGAGACGCGAAAGCGUGGGGAGCGAACAGG